AGCGAACGCUGGCGGCAGGCUUAACACAUGCAAGUCGAACGGUCCUUCGGGAUAGUGGCGGACGGGUGAGUAACACGUGGGAACGUACCCUUAGGUUCGGAACAACACAGGGAAACUUGUGCUAAUACCGGAUAAGCCCUUCGGGGGAAAGAUUUAUCGCCUUUGGAGCGGCCCGCGUCUGAUUAGCUUGUGGGUGAGGUAAUGGUUCACCAAGGCUACGAUCAGUAGCUGGUCUGAGAGGAUGGCCAGCCACACUGGGACUGAGACACGGCCCAGACUCCUACGGGAGGCAGCAGUGGGGAAUCUUGCGCAAUGGGCGAAAGCCUGACGCAGCCAUGCCGCGUGGAUGAUGAAGGUCUUAGGAUUGUAAAAUCCUUUCACCGGGGACGAUAAUGACGGUACCCGGAGAAGAAGCCCCGGCUAACUUCGUGCCAGCCGCCGCGGUAA
rnacentral:rRNA from 1 species